CGUUAUUACAGGCAUGUAAGCAAUUUGAGUUAAUUGUAUCCCAUUAGCAGUUAAUUGAGUAGCGUGGCUGGAGAACAACGCGUGGCUGGAGGAACAAUUGAAAAAUGGAUAAGAUAAUAAAACAAAAAAAUGAUCAAAUUAUGAAGCUGCAGGCCCAGUUAUUGGAACAACACAAAAUAUUAGAUAACAAAGCUAAGGAUCGUAGGCCGAACACGUAAUGAUUCUAUUUAUUUGCUUUUAUUCAUUCGUGUUUUGUAGCUCAAAUUUUGAGUCUUCAAGCUCAGCUAGGGGAAAAGAACAAAUUGGAACGGAACAGUUUCCAAACAGUGAAGGAGGUUUUUCAAAACUCAUCUCUAACUGAACGUGAGGAUGAGUUGGCAUUAGGCGAACACAGCCAGUUAUUCAGUCCACCACAUGACAGUGUGUUAAAUUUAAAUUCUGUUAGUGCUGCCCUAAAAGAAUCGUUAGUAAUAAGCUCAUGCAGUGAAGGAACUGAACAAUUGUGGGAACAUAUUUGGGCCAAAAAUGGGUGUGGUUCAGAAACCCAGAAAUGGCACAAGUUCAACAUGAAACAUGGAUUAGAUUUUAACGGGGGAUCAAAUCAAGUCUGGAAGUGUUACAGGAUGGAAGAGUGAGCCUACAGAUGAAAAAACACUGAGAGUGCAUUACCGUAAGGUGUGAGGUAAAUUAAUAGAGUAAUGCAAAUUGCCUAAUGAGAAGUACCAUCUUGUGUUAAUGAAUCCAGUACAACAGCAAUCCUUUAUAGUUCUGUCACAGCUAGAAGCCUCAAAUAAUUCUGCUUCUCUGUCUAAAGAACAACUUGUCCUUUAUGUUCAGAGUGUUGGGGAAACUGGGUACUUAAAUGGCCCUAAAGAUGUUUUAAUUUUGCUGCUAUUGCAGAGAUGAACAUCAUACAUGGACUCUUUAGGUCUUAUCUACCAAAAAAAAUUUUAUCCAAUAGGAAAGGAUUUUCAUGUACUGGGAACACAACUAUCAACAAUGCAACAUUCUACAGGUGCUAGUUUAUCAUUCAAGAGCCUUAUACAAUGAAGUUAAUCUGCAAUUUGUAUGUCCUUUCCCAAGCUUCCACCAGAAGUUGAAUCUCUGAGUCAUGUAAGUUCCAUGAUCAACAAUUGAUGUGUUUAACGGUGUUGUUUUUCUUUUCUCAAUAUAGGUUAAUAGUAACAUUGGAUCUGAAAAGAUUUUUGGUUGGGGCAAGACACUGAAUAAAUUGUAUUGAUUGGAUGGAUGACAUGACAUUGCUAUACUUAAUUCGGAUUCCCCAGACGGUAUUUGAUAUUAAAAAAAUUGAAGUGCAUAUCUGGGCUCCCUUCUUUUCUGAAGCCCCGUUUCCC